AUCCAGCUGACCGAGAGUCCCAAAUAGGACGAAAUGCGCAUCCUGGAU
rnacentral:hammerhead_ribozyme from 1 species